rnacentral:rRNA from 1 species
ACUCCUACGGGAGGCAGCAGUGGGGAAUUUUGGACAAUGGGUGAAAGCCUGAUCCAGCCAUUCCGCGUGCAGGAUGAAGGCCCUCGGGUUGUAAACUGCUUUUGUACAGAACGAAAAAGCUCCGGCUAAUACCUGGAGUCCAUGACGGUACUGUAAGAAUAAGCACCGGCUAACUACGUGCCAGCAGCCGCGGUAAUACGUAGGGUGCAAGCGUUAAUCGGAAUUACUGGGCGUAAAGCGUGCGCAGGCGGUUUUGUAAGACAGAGGUGAAAUCCCCGGGCUCAACCUGGGAACUGCCUUUGUGACUGCAAGGCUGGAGUGCGGCAGAGGGGGAUGGAAUUCCGCGUGUAGCAGUGAAACGCGUAGAUAUGCGGAGGAACACCGAUGGCGAAGGCAAUCCCCCGGGCCUGCACUGACGCUCAUGCACGAAAGCGUGGGGAGCAAACAGGAUUAGAUACCCUGGUAGUC